rnacentral:tRNA from 1 species
GGCCCCAUGGUCAAGCGGCUAAGACGACGCCCUCUCACGGCGUAAUCGGGAGUUCGAUUCUCCCUGGGGUCACCA